CCUACGGGAGGCAGCAGUGAGGAAUAUUGGUCAAUGGACGAGAGUCUGAACCAGCCAAGUAGCGUGAAGGAUGACUGCCCUAUGGGUUGUAAACUUCUUUUAUAUGGGAAUAAAACGUUCCACGUGUGGGAUUUUGUAUGUACCAUAUGAAUAAGGAUCGGCUAACUCCGUGCCAGCAGCCGCGGUAAUACGGAGGAUCCGAGCGUUAUCCGGAUUUAUUGGGUUUAAAGGGAGCGUAGGUGGAUUGUUAAGUCAGUUGUGAAAGUUUGCGGCUCAACCGUAAAAUUGCAGUUGAAACUGGCAGUCUUGAGUACAGUAGAGGUGGGCGGAAUUCGUGGUGUAGCGGUGAAAUGCUUAGAUAUCACGAAGAACUCCGAUUGCGAAGGCAGUUCACUGGACUGAAACUGACACUGAGGCGCGAAAGUGUGGGUAUCAAACAGGAUUAGAUACCCGGGUAGUC
rnacentral:rRNA from 1 species